GUGUCAGCAGCCGCGGUAAUACGUAGGGAGCGAGCGUUGUCCGGAUUUAUUGGGCGUAAAGGGCGUGUAGGCGGCUUCUUAAGUCAGGGGUGAAACCCCGGAGCUCAACUCCGGGCCUGCCUCUGAAACUGGGGAGCUUGAGUGCUCUAGAGGGCAGUGGAAUUCCCGGUGUAGCAGUGAAAUGCGUAGAGAUCGGGAGGAACACCAGUGGCGAAGGCGACUGCCUGGGGAGUAACUGACGCUGAGGCGCGAAAGCUGGGGGAGCAAACGGGAUUAGAUACCCCGGUAGUCCCAGCCGUAAACGAUGAGUGCUAGGUGUGAGGGGUAUCGACCCCCCUCGUGCCGGAGUUAACGCAAUAAGCACUCCGCCUGGGGAGUACGGCCGCAAGGUUGAA
rnacentral:rRNA from 1 species